UACGUAGGGUGCGAGCGUUGUCCGGAAUUAUUGGGCGUAAAGAGCUCGUAGGCGGCUUGUCGCGUCGGAUGUGAAAGCCCGGGGCUUAACUCCGGGUCUGCAUUCGAUACGGGCAGGCUAGAGUUCGGUAGGGGAGAUCGGAAUUCCUGGUGUAGCGGUGAAAUGCGCAGAUAUCAGGAGGAACACCCGUGGCGAAGGCGGCGACCUGGACAGAUAUUGACGCUGAGGUGCGAAAGCGUGGGGAGCAAACAGG
rnacentral:rRNA from 1 species